rnacentral:sRNA from 1 species
GACCUAUAAAACACACUGCUUUCAAUACCAGCAAUGAUCUUGUUUGUAUAUCACAUGUCAAAAUUCAUUUACCUUGUAUCUAGGAGAAAAAUAUCUUAAUGUCAGAGAAAUCUUGUUAUUAAUAUAUGCUAAUCAUCUAAAAAAAUAAAAAAUAAUUAAACAUGUACGGUUUAACUGGAAGUUUUAACCAUACUUAAACGUAUCUAACAUUAAUCAAUGCUAAUGCAUUGGUAUCUGCAACAUUGUAAUCUUUUAGAAGUGUUAGCAAUAUCUUGAUAGCUACCGGUAGUCAACUGGCUUGCGCAAGGUAGUGUUUGGAAUAAUUUAGGUUAUGGAUUUCAUCUUUUAAAUUUAUUAACAAAUAACAAAUUUCCCUACUGAGAAUUGACUUCAUUUAUUAUAUUUAUGGGUGUUUUUUUAUUUUUAACUUAAAAAUUAAGGUGUUGGAAGAGGUCAAGUAGAUGUU